AUUUGCUGCCUGCCUUUUCCAAAAGCAGAUGGGGGGGGAGCUAACCUUCAGGUGAUGGGUGGCAACUUUUAAAGCUGGAUAUGGGUCAACUUCCCUUUCUUUGAGCAAGGACAGUCUGGAUUUCUCACUGUCUUCACUCAAAACCUCUGAGGGGGAAAGUUGUAAAAAGCUGGGCUUAUCAUUAUCAAUGGCUUCCCCAAACUAUUGCAGCCCUACACGUAAAUUAAGCAGUCCUAAUUUGACAAGUGGGUUGCUAUGUACCCACUCAUGUUGAUAGAGCAAUCAUCAACAGUUUUCUUAAACGUGAACCAAUCUGGGAGAGUGUGGAGAGCACUGAGAUAGGAGGCUCGGCAUUCCAAGUGCAGCCAUUGUGCUAGGUAGUUGUGUGAUCUCAGGGAAAACUCACUUACUUUUUCUGUCUAGUUCCUAGAUCUUUCAAACAAAGACUGAUUCAGCUGGCAGUGGCCAGAAAACCACUCAACAGAAACAACUGAAGUGGCCACAGCCCAGGAGAGGGCUGAUGGGCUCAUGCAGGAAAUAUCACAAAAGGAAGGUGAGGACUAGCCUAGAACAGCUGCAGCUAACUGAGAGGACGGGGAUACGGCAUGAUGAGGACUUUUUGAGAAGGAGCAGUAACACAGAAUCACUACACUGCACAGAGCCAGGACUGACCAAGUGGCAGCAGGCAUCUUGUGGAACAAGUCAGAGUCUUCAGGAGCUCACAAGGACUCCAGGGAAGCAAGCUUUGAUGCAGGCUGGAGUCUUAGCCACUCAGGAAGAAGAAUCCCUUGAGCCUAGGAGUUCAAGACCAACAUGGGCUUUAUGGCAAGAUGGAAGAUUGGAAAGGAGGGAGGAAAAGAGAUAAAUGAUAUGUGCAAGAGAUAGAAGCUGAUCAAGAAGGCAGACACCUCAAAAGCAGCAGCUGCAUUCUUGUCCUUUGCAAGAAACAGGAAAUGUCUCUCUUUGUUCUUUUUAUCUCUUUUUAAUAAAGUCUAGGCUUAUUUUCCCUGCCAUCCUGGGCUUUACACACACACACACACACACACACACACACACACACACACACACUUUCACAAGAUGACUAAUGACUGCUUUCUAACAUGACUUUCCCUCCAUCUGGCUGCCAAGGUUUACAUCUUUCUGUACUGUGUUGUGUUUCUCACAAGCUCUAAUAAAAUUGUUCUUGAGUUCC
rnacentral:lncRNA from 1 species